AACGCGAAGAACCUUACCAGCCCUUGACAUGGGAGUCGCCGGGACCAGAGACGGUCCCUUCGGUUCGGCCGGACUCCACACAGGUGCUGCAUGGCUGUCGUCAGCUCGUGUCGUGAGAUGUUGGGUUAAGUCCCGCAACGAGCGCAACCCUCGUCUCCAGUUGCCAUCAGGUGAAGCUGGGCACUUUGGAGAAACUGCCGGUGACAAGCCGGAGGAAGGUGGGGAUGACGUCAAGUCCUCAUGGCCCUUACGGGCUGGGCUACACACGUGCUACAAUGGCGGUGACAGUGGGAUGCGAAGGGGCAACCCGGAGCCGAUCCUAAAAAGCCGUCUCAGUUCGGAUUGCACUCUGCAACUCGAGUGCAUGAAGUUGGAAUCGCUAGUAAUCGAGGAUCAGCAUGCCUCGGUGAAUACGUUCCCGGGCCUUGUACACACCGCUCGUC
rnacentral:rRNA from 1 species